AUGUCUGUCAACGUCAACCCCAGCAUGUCAGACCAGUUCUAUUACAAGAUGCCCUGUCUGAUUGCCAAGGUUGAGGGCAAAGGAAAUGGAAUCAAGACAGUUAUAGUCAACAUGAUUGACACUGCGAAGGCACUUAAUUGGCCUCCAAGGUAUCCCACCAAAUGGGAUACAUUGUUACAUUGUGAAUGGAUCUCAGGAGGCCAAUAAGCUGCAAGACAUGUUGGAUGGAUUCAUUAAAAAAUUUGUUCUCUGUCCUGAAUGUGAGAAUCCUGAAACAGAUAUGCAUGUCAAGCCAAAGCAGCAAACAAUAGGUAAUUCUUAUAAAGCCUGUGGCUAUCGAGGCAUGCUUGACACACAUCAUAAACUCUGCACAUUCAUUCUCAAAAACCCACCUGAGAAUAGUGACAGUGGUACAGGAAAGAAAGAAAAGGAAAAGAAAAAUAUAAAGGGCAAAGACAAGGAAAAUGGCUCCGUAUCCAGCAGUGAGACACCACCACCAAAGAAAUUAGCCCUCCUCCACAUACAGUGCAAGAAGAGGAGGAUGACUGGGGGGAAGAUACAACUGAGGAAGCUCAAAGGUGCAGAAUGGAUGAAAUCAGUGAUCAUGCAAAAGUUCUGAUACUCUGUGAUGAUUCGGAAAAAACAGUUGAGGAGUGGGCCAACAUCCUGUUUGAUUUUGUGAAGAAAAAGAAAGAAGAGGGUAUCAUCGAUUUAUGUGACAAAGAAAUUGUUACUGAAGCAGAAGGACUGGAUGUAAAAGCCAUGGGACCUCUUGUUCUGACUGAAGUUCUUUUUAAAGAGGAGAUUAGAGAACACAUAAGAAAUACAGGCACCAUUUCUUAUGAUUUUGUCACAACAACAAAAAAGCUCAGUGGUAUCUUCUUCAUGGCUUGACGUGUAGGGUAGCAAUGUGCCAAGCUCCGCUUAUCUCCAAGAUUCCACAUAUCUUGAAGGAGAUGUAUGCUGUAGAUUUUUUAGAAGAAGAGGUUGUCAUCAGCUGGUCGGAAAAAGGCCUUUAAGAAAAAUGUCUCAAAAGAACUUGCCAAAGAGAUUCAUAUCAAAGCAGAACCAUUUAUAAAAUGAAGGAAGCAGAGGAAGAAUCUUCUGGUGGUGAAGAAGAUGAAGAUGAGAACACUGAGGUGGUGUAUUAGAAGACUGCCAGUGUACCCAAAGUUGAAACUGUAAAGUCCAACAACAAGGAUGAUGACGUUGAUAUUGAUGCCAUUUAA